rnacentral:rRNA from 1 species
AGAAUUUGAUCUUGGUUCAGAUUGAAUGCUGACGGCGUGGAUGAGGCAUGCAAGUCGAACGGGGUGUUUUAGGAUUUAUUCUAAAAUAUCUAGUGGCGGAAGGGUUAGUAAAAGAUGAAUAAUUCACCCUUGGUAUAGGGAUAACCUAUGGAAACAAAGGCUAAUACCCAAUGAGGUCGUCAUAAGAGAACUUAUGGGGAUUAAAGGGUGUCUUCGGACACUCGACGAAGGAGGAGUUCAUCAGAUAUCAUCUAGUUGGAGUGAUAAAAGCACCCCAAGGCAAAGACGUCUAGGCGGACUGAGAGGUUGACCGCCAACACUGGGACUGAGACACUGCCCAGACUUCUACGGAAGGCUGCAGUCGAGAAUCAUUCGCAAUGGGCGAAAGCCUGACGAUGCGACGCCGUGUGAACGAAGAAGGCCCUCGGGUCGUAAAGUUCUUUCGCAUGGGAGAAAGUGUGCAAACAUUGAUAGUACCAUGUAAAGAAGCACCGGCUAACUCCGUGCCAGCAGCUGCGGUAAUACGGAGGGUGCAAGCAUUAAUCGGAAUUAUUGGGCGUAAAGAGUGCGUAGGUGGAAAAGGAAGUCAGAAAUGAAAUUUCAAAGCUCAACUUUGAAGCAAUUACUGAAACUCCUUAUCUAGAGGAUAUACGGGGAAAAUAGAAUUUCACAUGUAGCGGUGAAAUGCGUAGAUAUGUGAAGGAAUACCGGUGGCGAAAGCGGUUUUCUAGUAUAAACCUGACACUGAGGCACGAAAGCAAGGGUAGCAAACAGGAUUAGAUACCCUGGUAGUCCUUGCCGUAAACGAUGUAUACUAGAUGUAGAAGGUCUCAACCCCUUUUGUGUCGAAGCUAACGCGAUAAGUAUACCGCCUGAGGAGUACGCUCGCAAGGGUGAAACUCAAAAGAAUUGACGGGGACCCGCACAAGCAGUGGAGCAUGUGGUUUAAUUCGAUGCAACGCGAAGAACCUUACCCAGGCUUGACAUGCAAGUGAAUAUAUGAGAGAUUAUAUAGUCCCUCGGGACACUUGCACAGGUGCUGCAUGGCUGUCGUCAGCUCGUGCCGUGAGGUGUUGGGUUAAGUCCCGCAACGAGCGCAACCCUUAUCGUUAGUUACCAGCAUGUAAAGAUGGGGACUCUAACGAGACUGCCUGGGUUAACCAGGAGGAAGGUGAGGAUGAGGUCAAGUCAGCAUGGCCCUUAUGUCUGGGGCUACACACGUGCUACAAUGGUCGGUACAAAAGGCAGCGAAACCAAGAGGUGAAGCAAAUCCUAGAAAACCGAUCUCAGUUCGGAUUGUAGUCUGCAACUCGACUACAUGAAGUUGGAAUUGCUAGUAAUGGCGAGUCAUCAAUAUCGCCGUGAAUACGUUCCCGGGUCUUGUACACACCGCCCGUCACAUCAUGGAAGUUGGUUACGCCCGAAGUCGCUGACCGAACCGCAAGGACGGAGGCGCCGAGGGUGAAGCCGAUAACUGGGAUGAAGUCGUAACAAGGUA